GCGGCCGCGGGACAGCGCCGCCGCCGGCGGGCGGCAUCCGCAGUCCUCCGGCCGCGAGGAAACGGGCGCGUGUUGGAAGAGAGAGUUAUGGAGGUGCCCGGAAAGACGGUUCACACCGUGAAACUGCCCUGCUGGGGCGGGUGGCAGAGCGGAGCUCGGACCCAGCGGCAGCCUGGCAAUGAUGAGUGACCCGCUAAGGUGGGACCUGGCGCCCUGCGCGGUGGUGGCACCUGCUCAUAGAGUCUCCUUGCUCUCUCCCAUUACAGUGCUACUGAGGUGCGGGUACAGUCUUGCAGGCAGCCCACACAGAACUUUGGCUCGACACGGAUCUCCUGAACCUUGUGAGGUCGAAGAUGCAAAUGGAAGUUAGUCAAAUAAUAGAGAUCUUGAUGUGGUCACAACUGAUAUGAGUAUUAACUGCUUCUGGAUUUUAUUGAAUUACAUUAAAGGAAAGGUUACAGCCCAGAUGACAGAAAAUGAAGAGGCAGGGCAGAUUUAGAAGCCCAGAAAACAAGAUUAACCCAUAAAAUCCUCCUCUGGAGGUUUUCAAAACCUGCCUGGAUGUGUUCCUGUGUGACCUGAUCUAGGUGGACCUGCCAGGAGAGUUGAAUUGGAUGAUCUCUGAAGGUCCCUUCCAACUCCUACCAUUCUGUGUGAUUCUGUGUUUGA